GCGCAGCCUCGAGCCACCGCCGUGCCUGCACGUGGAACUUUGGAGUCAGGCUGCCAAGCUGGAGCCCACACUUGCGAAUAAAUGGGGCCACUUGGCCCCAUGGCAUUGGCCCUUUUAACUAGGAACAGGC